rnacentral:lncRNA from 1 species
ACACUCACAAAGAGCCGAGGGGAGAGAGGGUGCGCAGACGGCCAGCCGGGCCGCGCCAGGGACAUACUGGAGACAGGAAGUGGCUGAGAGGGGGAGAGAGUUGGAGAGAGACGGCCGCGGAGGACACGGGGACGGGAAAGUCUGAGAGACGGGGAGAGCCUGACCCGGCGGGACACAGGCAGAAAGAAACACGCGAGCCAGACAGACGCAGAAGAAACGUGCCUGGUACUGGAUAGGAACUUCAUGGAAUGGAGCUAAUGGGCCGUAGGGCAGGUUUGAGUCGUGCCACCCUGGAGCAGAAGGUGGAGGGUAGGGAUAAGGGGGUGGAGCACCUGAUUCCAAUCUUGCCACAGGGAAGAAGAGUCUGUGAAGAAGGUGGAGAGAAACUAGGAGAAAAGCACAGGAUGUAGAGGUCUAUUCGGCAUAAUCUUCUCCCUCAUUUUCAUCUUCACCAUCAACAGAGAGAGCAGCAUACUUGCUUGCAGAACUGAACUUCUGUAACACAACGAGAGUGACAGGAUAAUGAAGGCCCUGAAUUAUCACAUCAAAACCCAAGACACAGGAUACUGAUCCUUUGGCAAUGGGGGAUGACAGUCAGAUGACACCCACUUGCUUGCUCAUCAGCAUUGUCCAUUGGAGAGGAGCUAGGGAAGAGGGUCAGAGGCACAUGCGAUCUUACUAUAGUCUCAUACCACCUCUACACCUUGCAGAAGGGAUGAGAACAAAGGAAGACAGAAACCAGGAAAAAGCUAAACUUCUUUCGCUAUUUCAGUAAAGACCAAUGUCUUAUUUCCAAACACUUUGUAUUCCAAAUGGAAAGAAGUCCAACGGCAAAAAGUUUAGAAUACUAAGAAUUUUUAAUUCUUAGUAAGAAUACUUAGAAUUCUAAGAAUUUUUCUUAGAAUGAAAAAUUGGGAGCAGCCUUCAACACUUACGGAAGCUGGAUUUUCCUCAGGUUUCUUUGGCUCAGGUGCAGAUCUGGAGUCUUGAUCCUUUUUGCCAUCUUUCCUGCAGAGACGUAAGCAUAAAACCAUGUCUUUAGGAAAGGACUCGCCUAAUACAAACAUGUGUAUGCAUGCAGUUUCAAGGCACUGAACAGGCACCUCUAGUCAACAGUCCUUGUUGUCUGGAUGAUGUAUUACUUCUAGAUUUUCAGAAUCUUAACUGUCUACGUUGGCUGACUUUAGUUUGCUCACAAUGAGCGAUCUGGCAGUGCUCUGAGAACCAAGAACUUAAUUUCUUAAUUACACAAACAUGUGGAUCAGAGGAAAGAUGAGAAAGAGAACAAGCAUACCUAUCUGACUCCUUCCAGUGGUCUCUGUUCCCUCCGUCGCCUGGACCACGGCUAGAGUUCCCAGUUUGGCCUUUUGGGGCAUUCAUCCCAUCUACUUUAUUUUCAUCUGCUUGGGCAGUAAUGUAAACAAAUUAAAGGCAAGUAAAAGUAUCAAUGUCCCUCUCCUAAGAUUUCCCUUAAGCUGAAGAAAAUUGUGCCCACAUGUACUGAGGGAAACUAACCUCACCCCAACCCAGACUUCCUUCCUGAAGCCCUUCUUUCCACAUCCUCUACAGCACACAAAAAUACAAAAAACAAACAAAAUCCACUAAAAAGUUCCAUGUAGGGAUAUGCCAUCAUGAAAAGCAAGCUGGAAAUAAAGAUUAUGACGCUCUGUA